rnacentral:lncRNA from 1 species
AACUACCUGUUAGACCACAUGAAUGAGUUUGACGACGGAGCGCCAUAGUAAGACAAGCAAGUUGUUUCUGAAUUACAUGCACAAGCCCAUGGGAGCAAGGAUUGUUGGGAGAUUGAUACUCCCGCACUCACAGGGCAGGCCUUAGAGAUCUUUUUGAGAUUUUGUCACUUCCUUAGUCUGUAAUUCUUUUCUGCCUUGCUAUUAGUACAUACUCUAGAUUGUCUUGAUGUGUUAAUUUAUAGACUUAACGACAUCGUAUAAAAGUUCUGUCAGUUUUACUGCACCUGCCGAUCUAUUAAUAGAUGAAGUGCCUGCGUGGAACACACUGGGUGCCAGGCAGCCUAAGC